rnacentral:miRNA from 1 species
UUGGGAGGCUGAGGUGGGAGGAUUGCUUGAGGCUAGGAGUUUGAGACCAACCUGGGCAACAAAGUGAGAUCUCUAUCUCUACAAACA